rnacentral:rRNA from 1 species
CCCAGACUCCUACGGGAGGCAGCAGUGGGGAAUAUUGCACAAUGGGGGAAACCCUGAUGCAGCGACGCCGCGUGAGUGAAGAAGUAUCUCGGUAUGUAAAGCUCUAUCAGCAGGGAAGAAAAUGACGGUACCUGACUAAGAAGCCCCGGCUAACUACGUGCCAGCAGCCGCGGUAAUACGUAGGGGGCAAGCGUUAUCCGGAUUUACUGGGUGUAAAGGGAGCGUAGACGGCGCUGCAAGUCCGGAGUGAAAGCCCAUGGCUUAACCAUGGUACUGCUCUGGAAACUGUGGAGCCUGAGUGCGGGAGGGGCAGGCGGAAUUCCUAGUGUAGCGGUGAAAUGCGUAGAUAUUAGGAGGAACACCAGUGGCGAAGGCGGCUUACUGGACUGUAACUGACGUUGAGGCUCGAAAGCGUGGGGAGCAAACAGGAUUAGAUACCCCAGUA